rnacentral:lncRNA from 1 species
GUUGUGAACUUCUCUGUACUUUCCUGUGAGUUUCACUCAGAAGACUUCAAAGGAGAAGUGGAACACACUGUCCUGAAAGACACUAUGAUUUGUGGCGGGAAGACCCAAGGGUCAGCGGUGGAAGCGAGAAAGUCUAUGCCAGCAGGAUGAAGGAGCUGUGCUAGGGGGAUGAGGGUUCUACACUGGAGCCGAGAAGUCACACUCACAAUAAAGAGCAAGGCUGUCCUGAAAGGAACCACAGC